rnacentral:rRNA from 1 species
GACGUAGGGCGCGAGCGUUGUCCGGAUUUAUUGGGCGUAAAGAGCUCGUAGGCGGCUUGUCGCGUCGACUGUGAAAUCCCGCGGCUCAACCGCGGGUCUGCAGUCGAUACGGGCAGGCUAGAGUUCGGUAGGGGAGACUGGAAUUCCUGGUGUAGCGGUGAAAUGCGCAGAUAUCAGGAGGAACACCGGUGGCGAAGGCGGAUCUCUGGGCCGAUACUGACGCUGAGGAGCGAAAGCGUGGGGAGCGAACAGG